ACGCUCGACACCUACGGGGGCAGCAGUCGGGAAUAUUGCGCAAUGGAGGAAACUCUGACGCAGUGACGCCGCGUGCAGGAAGAAGGUUUUCGGAUUGUAAACUGCUUUAGACAGGGAAGAAAGAAAUGACAGUACCUGUAGAAUAAGCUCCGGCUAACUACGUGCCAGCAGCCGACGGUAAUCUGAGGCGGGCGUGGACAAGGC
rnacentral:rRNA from 1 species